GCUGCUGCCCAAACCUCUCUAUCUUUUUGUUGUUUUUGUGACCUUCAGCAUGACCCACGUAAUAGUGUAACAGAACUCUGAGGAGUCUGUCAAUACUGACUUUAUUACAGAUGACUAACUGCAUUAGAAUCAUGUUUUGACUCUGUAUUGAUGUAGUGAAACCGCAUUGAGUAGAUUAUGUGACACUGAUCACGCUCACUGUUUGAUCCUGUGGACGGAAAUAUUUCUGUCUGGAACCUGCGCAAGGAUGGAGGUUGAGAAAUAAUGGGCUGUUGACUGUUGAGGCUGAGAAGCAGUCACGGUACCAGUCAUGGGAUCAGUGGUUCAGUUCCUCUGAACCACUGAUCCCAUGUCUGUAGGCAAGACACUGGACCCAGCAUCGCCUCCAGAGUGUAAAUGCUCUGCCAUCAGAGCACACACAAGAAAUGAUGCGACAACACCUGCUGUGAGGAAGGAGGGAAGAAGCAUCACAAAAUACACAAAAAGAUGAAACCUUAAAGGCCUUAUUUAAAGGCCUUUUAGGUGACUCUUCAUUGGAUCUGAUGUUUCUUUGCUUUGCUUCUUUGAGAUUAUUAUUAUUAUUAUUAUUAUUAUUAUUAUUAUUAUUAUUAUUAUUAUUAUUAUUAUUAUUAUUAUUAUUAUUAUUAUUAUUAUUAUUAUUAUUAUUAUUAUUUAGCUCAUCUCUCAAACACAUGCACGCUCACACACACACACACACACACACACACACACACACACACACACACACACACACACACUCUGGAGUUUUCAUCUGAUCUAGGUUGCCUAGUUACAGUCGUGUAAAGGUUGUGAAUUUGGGUCACUCCUGUUUUGUGUCUUGAGGAAGGACACACUGUACGUCUCUGAAAUAAAUGAAAUGUAAUGCAACAACAUUUUUGUAUUUCAAUAAAACCAUCAGGAGUUAAACUCACAGUUUAACUCCUUUAAUGGCUGAGAAUAAACAGCCAUUCCAAUAGUACAUGUACGCGUUACAGUUAUGUCAGUCUGCUGAGCCCAUUUGAUGGUUUUAGAGACUUUUUCUUGACAUUAUAUAAUGAUAAAAUACUGAUUGCAGAACAAGGAAUAGAACCAGUUAGAACAAGAAGACCAUGCAGUGUACUGAACCUUGGUCACAGCAAAGCCAGCUGAAUAGAUAAACAGCAGAUCGCUGCCACUAACAUUUGGAGUUAAGCUGAUGAAGUGAUUUGAACUGGUGUGAAACCAGUGGGGUUUAAAAAGACUGCCUGAAAGCAGAGUUAAUUUUAACUGGGCUUCUUGACGAUUCUCCAUCUGUUCAGGAGGCUUCUUCAGUCGGAGGACAGUUGGUUUGGGCACACAUUUAUCCUGUAGAGAUCAGGCUCAUUAGGUGAACAACACACUGGGAUGAGUGAGUGGAUGUGAACUCUCUUUUAUCUACUGCGGCUGCUUCUCCAUCACAGGUCAUCAAGUGUGUCCUUGUGUUCUGCUUUUUAAAGGGACAAACACAGUACUGAUACUUUGGCCCAGUGGCUUUUUUCCUUCUUCAGUGAGCUCUCUUGGAUGCUCUUUCCUCAGACCAAUGAAGCUCCUGGGUAGGAGGUGAAACGGUUAUAUUAUUUAGUUAUUCAUAGGCUAAAGUGCUGAUAUGAUAAACCUUUCCUUACUCUGGAUUUACAUUAGGAUAGCCAUAAGACAGGUUGUACAGUGUUUCACUGUAAGAGAUAAAUGGCCAUGUCCAUUGUGUUUACACUAUUUGUUACAUUGUGUCUACACUACUUUGUUUGUUUGUUAGCUGAGCCGAGAACAUGUUUGUUAUAUCAUCAUAAAAGUUAUUAUUGCCAAUAUGACUAACCCUGAAAACAUUUGCACAUACAGUAUACAGCAUAAUAAAGGUGACAUAACUGCACACUGGUGCAGAAACAGAAUACUGUACAUGCAUACAGUACACUAGAAUUUGUUUUAUUAAUGACAAUAAAACUUUAAUUAAAAAAAAUCCAAGUAAGUGAAGCCUAGUGAAUAAGCAUAAGUAAAUGAGCUUAAACACUACAAUCCUACUGUGGUUUUGUAAAUCGCGUCACUCUAGAACAGGAUGUAAAUAAAAGAUCACUGAGGGGAAUGCAGCAGUGGGUGCAUCAGGCUGGCAGCGUAGCAUGACCUCAUUUUUAGAGCUGGCAUUAACGCAGUAUAUGAUGCAUAUGAGUGCAAUGUUUGACCUUAAGUUUUUGUGUCAAUAUUUUGCAAAACAUGUGCAUUACUGUAUAAAUGAAUGUAUGGGUUCAGGGGUUAGUGUCACUGAAGGCAAAUGAAAAGGAGAAACAUUAGAUUAAUUUAGAUUUGCAAGUUCAAAUGAUAGAGAGUGUAGAGACUGUAUUAUUACAUCUGUUUAGCUGAGCUGUGCACAGAUCUGUGCUGGUUGUGAUUGAAGAAACAACUAGACUGGCACAUGGACUGACAAGAUUCCAGGACAAUAAUGGACCAGAUAAGAUCAUUUUACAGUUGAUGGAGAAAAUCAUACUGUAGCUGUAACUUGGCUGGCGUUGUGGAGAAAUAUUUGGGAGACGGUCCUAGAGAACAGGGACAGCUGGUGUGGGAGCCCGUUGAAAGGAAACCAGUUUAACUUCAUACCCAUUGGACCCUCAUUUAUCUCCACUAUAUUUAGACCUGCCCCAAAAAUAAAAGCUGGACAUUUUGUCUUAGUUUUUAUAGCUGUAGGCAUGUAGCCUUUCAGAUGCAAUGUGGCUGUUUGCUGGGGGCUGAUCAUCAGGCUGAACAGUGGUUACCUCUGCUAUCUGUACACGUACAUCAGAGUUGUAUGCAUAUCUUUAGUUUUGCUUCUUAUCCUUUAGCAUUGACGAGACAGUGAGUGUGGUCAAAUAUAGUUUGGACAUUUGGACACGUUACAAUCAACCUGGGCCUGAAAUGUUAAAGCUGCACUAACUAUUAUUUUAGAGUUCAUGUGUCUGUUUUACUCUGGGCCUCUUGUUAUUCCAGAUAUACUGUUGGGUAAUGUAUUUACCCCUAAGACCCUGCUGCCCCUGGCAGGACGCUGCCAGUAAUACCAGCUGAGUGGCAGCUCCAGCAACAUCCAGCGAUGCUGUGUCAGCUUCUGACCCCGUUUAUCGUAUCCAACACCAUAAAUGUGCUUCUGCUGUCUCAGCUAAACCGUAAAUACCCACUGACCCGGUGCCCAGUGUGAGACUUACAGAUUUACAGUUAGAAACAGCUUCUGAAGUUUGAGAGCCUUUAAUCGUGGUGAUUCUGAGUCCUUCCUUAACAUUUUGAUGCUGACUGUUCACAUCUCAAUGGGGUGAAUCAGUGAAAGAACAGCGUGUAAGUCAUCAGAUUUUAAGAUUUUAUAUUCGCUGCUCAUCUUGAGGUAAGACAGAAGCUGAUGUACCUCCCAACACUAUCCAUCAGGGUUACUGUCACUGGGCUGGAUGCCAGUGACAGCGCCAAGUCUGCCACUUUUAGAUCUUUGGCUAAUAAUUCUGUUUUUAACAGAUGCCUGUCUCCUGUGUGCAUGCUUUCAUCACCUUCUUCAUGUACCACUCUGCAGAUGUCCUCAGUCUUGGAUCUGAAUGUUUCUGGUGUGCAGUUGAUCCAACAACCAAGAGUUGGACUCCAAAUAUUCAGCAACACAUAUUCAUCUGUUGAAUAUUUGGAGUCCAACUCUUGGAAGGUUACAUAUAUACAGUAUAUAUGCUUUAAACCUAAUAAAAUGUCUUGAGAUGA